rnacentral:pre_miRNA from 1 species
CAUGCAUACAUAUGUGUAUGUGCCUGGCUCCCUGUAUGCCAUUUGUAGAGCUCAUCGAAGCAUCAAUGACCUUUGUGGAUGGCGUAUGAGGAGCCAAGCAUAUUUCAUAUACAUACAUG